GACGAGGGUGGCCGACGAGGCACCGAGCCUGGCGCGCUCGGCGCGUCCCGGCGGCUCGAGGCUGGUCAGUACGGGCGCCGACUCACGUCC
rnacentral:tRNA from 1 species